rnacentral:rRNA from 1 species
GCUGUACAACUAGCUCAGCCAAAACUUUCACUAAAAAUUAUUAUUAUGGAAGAACAAAAAUUUAAAAACCUAAAUAAAACAUUUUUCCCCCUUAGUACGGGAGACGGAAAAG